UCAAGGCUGCGUUGUUCGUUUGUAUAUGAAGUUUCACCUUUACGUAUUUUUUGGGAGUUCGACAUCAUUGCUGGAUUAACAUGCCUGCUUCGUUCAGGACGCUUAGGAUAGCAAUUGAGAGCACCCACCUGGUGGAGCAGGUCUGAAACUCCAUAUAAAUCGGCGGCAACAGCGGCUUACAU
rnacentral:other from 1 species